rnacentral:rRNA from 1 species
UUGUUGGUAAGGUAAAAGCUUACCAAGGCUUCGAUCAGUAGCUGGUCUGAGAGGACGACCAGCCACACUGGGACUGAGACACGGCCCAGACUCCUACGGGAGGCAGCAGUGGGGAAUUUUGGACAAUGGGGGCAACCCUGAUCCAGCCAUGCCGCGUGAGUGAAGAAGGCCUUCGGGUUGUAAAGCUCUUUCAGCCGGAACGAAACGGUUACGGAUAACACCCGUGACUACUGACGGUACCGGAAGAAGAAGCACCGGCUAACUACGUGCCAGCAGCCGCGGUAAUACGUAGGGUGCGAGCGUUAAUCGGAAUUACUGGGCGUAAAGCGUGCGCAGGUGGUUUUGUAAGUCAGAUGUGAAAGCCCCGGGCUCAACCUGGGAACUGCGUUUGAAACUACAAGACUAGAGUGUGGCAGAGGGGGGUGGAAUUCCGCGUGUAGCAGUGAAAUGCGUAGAGAUGUGGAGGAACACCGAUGGCGAAGGCAGCCCCCUGGGUCAACACUGACGCUCAGGCACGAAAGCAUGGGGAGCAAACAGGAUUAGAUACCCUGGUAGUCCAUGCCCUAAACGAUGUCAACUAGUUGUCGGGCCUUUACGGGCUUGGUAACGUAGCUAACGCGUGAAGUUGACCGCCUGGGGAGUACGAUCGCAAGAUUAAAACUCAAAUGAAUUGACGGGGACCCGCACAAGCGGUGGAUUAUGUGGAUUAAUUCGAUGCAACGCGAAAAACCUUACCUACCCUUGACAUGUAUCGAAGCCCGCAGAAAAGCGGGGGUGCCCGAAGGGGAACGAUAACACAGGUGCUGCAUGGCUGUCGUCAGCUCGUGUCGUGAGAUGUUGGGUUAAGUCCCGCAACGAGCGCAACCCUUGUCAUUAAUUGCCAUCAUUUAGUUGGGCACUUUAAUGAGACUGCCGG